AUACGUAGGGGGCGAGCGUUGUCCGGAAUGAUUGGGCGUAAAGGGCGCGUAGGCGGCCUGUUAAGUCUGGAGUGAAAGUCCUGUUUUCAAGAUGGGAAUUGCUUUGGAUACUGAUGGGCUUGAGUGCAGGAGAGGUUAUCGGAAUUCCCGGUGUAGCGGUGAAAUGCGUAGAGAUCGGGAGGAACACCAGCGGCGAAGGCGGGUAACUGGACUGCAACUGACGCUGAGGCGCGAAAGUGUGGGGAGCAAACAGGAUUAGAUACCCUGGUAGUCCACACUGUAAACGAUGAAUGCUAGGUGUAAGAGGUAUCGACCCCUUUUGUGCCGGAGUUAACACAAUAAGCAUUCCGCCUGGGGAGUACGGCCGCAAGGUUGAAACUUAAAGGAAUUGACGGGG
rnacentral:rRNA from 1 species